GGUUCGCUUUGCCUACCGGGAGUUGUAGUCUCGCGCCGCUCCUUGGCCCGCCUGAAGGCGCAACCUUGAGCCAGCGAGGGACCACAUUUCCUAGGUUGCCCUACGGUGGUACCUGUUGCACUUCCCUGCCGCUUCGCAAGAUUGGGAGAAGGAAGGGUGCCGGUGAUGGAAAUUGGCAACCAACAGAGUCUGGAAAAAUGUCCAGAACCCAUUAUGGAGGCAAGCACCUGCCUUUAGUGGGAUGCAACUGAGCAAUGAACUCUCCCCAAAACAGGUGGUGCCAUCUGCAACUGCCUUCUAAGUCAGCUCAAGUACCUGUACUCAAGAACCCUAAGUAAUUUCAAUCGAGACUUCUGAAAAGUAUUUAGAGAUACAAACUUCCCCU